AAGAAGAUGACGGUUUUCCACUUCUUCAACUGUGCAAUCCUUACAUUCGGACCUCAUGCUGUCUAUUACUCAGCAACCCCUUUGUCUGAGUAUGACACACUGUGGACUUCAAUAAAAUCUGCGGUUGUUUACCUUUUUACCGCACUAGUUAAGCUAGUUUGUCUAGCAACAUUUCUUAAUGUAUCUGAAAGUGAAAGCGACAAUUUUG
rnacentral:misc_RNA from 1 species